rnacentral:tRNA from 1 species
GGAGAGAUGGCUCAGGGGUUCUGAGCACUGACUGCUCAUCCAGAGAUCCUGAGUUCAAAUCCCAGCAACCACA